AGCAGCAAUAACGCUAUUGCUGGCAAUUUACUUGAAAGGUUAAAAAAUUUGUGGCAAUUAAUUGAUGAAUACCUGCAAUUAUGACAAUUGCUACUAAAAAUUGUAACUUCGCGUUAUAACUACUUUACCACUUUUUUCUCUUUUCGUUAACCUUUUUUAUCUGAUUGCGGAGCCUUUUUCUUCGUGUUGUGAGAGAAGCAGAGAGGCGGUGAAGGUGAACCAGAGGCGGCGGCGAAGGUGAACCAGAGGCGGCGGCGUCGAACCCUAGCAGUGCCGUCCAGAGGAAGCGCAGUGGUGUCCACCGAUCUUGACGGCGAGCCAAAUUGGGAUCGCGCAUAGUGCAGGAAAUGAUAGAAUUCUCCAUUUUCCCGAGAAAGUGAAAGAUCUCUUCUCUCACUCUGUUUCAAUCUCUUCACUCCUUUUGUUCUUGAUGUGUAGGUAAUUGGAAUCACGCCGAUGAUGACGAUUGAAAACCACCUCGUGUUGUUUGCUCCCAUUGCAACGGUAAUAGCAGCUAGACGAAGCAGAAGCACAUCUUCCCCCUGUGACUGCAAGCUUCACCGAGCAUUGAAUUUUUCUUGUUGAUUGUGUAUUGAGCAAAGGGAGCAGAAGGUUUCGGUGGGACACAAUGAGUGGCGUGUUCAAGCCUUCAAGGGAUAUGAACGCCUACGAGCUUUCCGUGAAUCAAGUAAAAAAAUGUGCGCCGCAGCUGGUGCUCUUGAUGGAGGUGAUGCUGAGUUUUGGGUUCUUUUGGCCGAGUUGCUGGGAAUAUGAAAGGUAAUUUCCAAAGGGGAAAGAAAGAAUACUGGGGAAGAAGGUUGUUUAAUAAUAUGAAACUCUUGAUUGGUUAUGCCUUUAAACACUAUGAACAAGCAAAAUCCACCAAGAAAAUCGUGUUGAGCUUCAAUGCCAGGUUGCAAACAUGUCUCCCAACAUACUAUCAAGGGAAAUGAAAAUUUGUUGUCUUGUUCCUGAAUUGUAAUCACCAAGAAAAUUACUUCUCAAGAGUCCACACCAGCAACCAGACACCAAGAAUUUUCAUUAUGCAGAAUAUAUAAUGCACAUCAAAGAAUUCAUAUUAAGUUAACAACUUAAUGAGCAACAAGGAUCAAAGAAUCGAAACAAUGGGACCCUUACCUUCUCUGCAAAAGAGCUUCUGACGCAAGAGUAUUUCGCCACCACGAAUCAAUUAUGUACUAUACAACCUGGAGAUCCCCAAAUAAGGGUAGACUAAAGCAAUGUUACUCAAUAGAGCUUAACACGUAAUAAUGCAUUGUAAUACACAUUCAAAGAUAUAAUCUGAUUUAAAACUUCCUUUUCCCUUC